UACGAAGGGGGCUAGCGUUGCUCGGAAUUACUGGGCGUAAAGCGCACGUAGGCGGAUUGUUAAGUCGGGGGUGAAAUCCUGGAGCUCAACUCCAGAACUGCCUUCGAUACUGGCGAUCUCGAGUUCGGGAGAGGUGAGUGGAACUGCGAGUGUAGAGGUGAAAUUCGUAGAUAUUCGCAAGAACACCAGUGGCGAAGGCGGCUCACUGGCCCGUAACUGACGCUGAGGCACGAAAGCGUGGGGAGCAGACAGG
rnacentral:rRNA from 1 species